UGCUCGAUUCGGCAGCUAAAUGCUAAAACUGGAACCGUACAGAGGAGAUGAAUAUGGCUUCUGCACAAAAUGAUGCGCAAAUUCGUGAAGCCUCUCCUAUUGAA